UGGGGGAUAUUGCACAAUGGGCGAAAGCCUGAUGCAGCGACGCCGCGUGGGGGAUGAAGGCCUUCGGGUUGUAAACUUCUUUUGCUCAGAACAAGGCAUGCUAAUGGGUGUGUUGAGCGUAGGGGUUGAUUAGCGCCGGCUAACUACGUGCCAGCAGCCGCGGUAAUACGUAGGGCGCGAGCGUUGUCCGGAAUUAUUGGGCGUAAAGGGCUUGUAGGUGGCUGGUUGCGUCUGUCGUGAAAGCUCAUGGCUUAACUGUGGGUGUGCGGUGGGUACGGGCUGGCUUUAGUACAGUAGGAGAGGCUGGAAUUCCUGGUGUAGCGGUGGAAUGCGCAGAUAUCAGGAGGAAUACCGGUGGCGAAGGCGGGUCUCUGGGCUGUUACUGACACUGAGGAGCGAAAGCAUGGGGAGCGAACAGG
rnacentral:rRNA from 1 species